rnacentral:lncRNA from 1 species
CAUCACUCCCUGUUCUACAACACUCUUAUCAGGUUCUAUAGGUUCUAGAACACUCUUAUCACUUAUGAUUGUUGGGACCCUCUCAUUUUGAUAUUUAAGAUGAAUCUUACUUUAAAACUUCAUUCUGGUCUCAUCUCUUCUCCUGCCCUCAGCUGUGGGACAAGAGUAAAUUCUCUUCAUACCGUUUUUUUCUGUCCUUGAGCUUUCUCCUCCCCCACUCUACAGACAGUGGGACAGAGUUUUGCCUGCUUCUGGUGGCCCCUGCCGACGGUGUCCUCCUGACAGAUGUGGUGUCCGGCUUCACUCCCACUCCUCUGCUGUUGAACCCUCCCUCCCGAGGGCCAGCGACAUCCACCAAGGACCUCACGCGUACCCGAGGUUCUUGUGCUGGCUCCUUUAGGUUCACACGGAUCCACUCCCACAUCCUUUCAAGUCCGUGGAUGGGGUGGGGUGUCCCUCCCCUCUUUUCCUCCCAAGCAUGCUGGCUGUCCACGGAGUGGAGGGUGCCCAGUGCCUGCGGUGCUCACUUCUGGGUUAGCCGCAUUUCUGGGACAGAGGAACAGUCCCGCUCAGCAUCUGGAGCUUCCGAACUAUGCCACGUCUGCACUGACUGAAACACCAGAGCUCAGGGAGGUUAAAUAACUUGCCCAACCAGUCAUCUGAGGAGCUUGGAUACAAAUAUAAAUUGUUUUGACACCAACGCUUCCCACCAUGCUUUGUUAUAAAUGGAGAUAUCCUAAGUUUAGAGAAGAUUUGGAGGAAAGUUGACAACUUCUUACCCCCGGAGAGUCAGCACAAAACUGCAGCAGGAGAAGAGCAGCGGUGGGGAAAGCAGAGGGCUUGCAAGCCGUGGUCACCAUGGGGCCCAGCUUCGUGCUUGGGAGCCCUCUGACCUAAGGAACGUGGGGCAGCAUAGUGAUCGGAGGCAGGGGCACUGGGCCUCUUGAGGGAUCAGGAGCAAGAGGAGAGAGGAAAGGUCUGUCUUCUGUGCUCUGGAAGGUAGGCCACAGAGGAGGGGAAGCAGAGAACUCUAUCAUCCUGUUGUCUGUAGGAGUAAAGAAGCCUCUGGAUUUUCUCCAGGCUGUCCACAGAGCUCAGAGUACCAGGAUUUGGGAGGAGGAAAGGCAACUGGGAUAGUAGCUCUUUCCCGGGGUCAACACUAUAUCGUUAACUGGCAUUUCCUUUAAACUCUCCUCUAGGAAGUAUGGAUAGAGUGGGCAUUUGUAUCCACAAUUUUCAGAUGAGGAAAUCCAGGCCCAGAGAAUAGGCAUGGCUUGAGUCGGGGCUUAACCCAGGGUGCAGACUCUAGUGCUUCCCUCAGUCUUGGGCCUGGUCUCCUAUUCUGCCG